rnacentral:tRNA from 1 species
GGUAGCAUGCCAGAGUGGUUAAUGGGUGGGAUUUGAAUGUCUUCUGUAUCCUAUGGGUUUGCCCGCGCAGGUUCGAAUCCUGCUGCUAUCG